GACGUAGGGCGCGAGCGUUGUCCGGAUUUAUUGGGCGUAAAGCGCACGUAGGCGGGUUGUUAAGUCGGGGGUGAAAUCCUGGAGCUCAACUCCAGAACUGCCUUCGAUACUGGCGACCUUGAGUCCGGGAGAGGUGAGUGGAACUCCGAGUGUAGAGGUGAAAUUCGUAGAUAUUCGGAAGAACACCAGUGGCGAAGGCGGCUCACUGGCCCGGUACUGACGCUGAGGUGCGAAAGCGUGGGGAGCAAACAGG
rnacentral:rRNA from 1 species